rnacentral:rRNA from 1 species
GACGGAGGAUGCAAGUUGUUAUCCGGAAUCACUGGGCGUAAAGCGUCUGUAGGUGGUUUAAUAAAUCAACUGUUAAAUCUUGAGGCUCAACCUCAAAAUCGCAGUCGAAACUAUUAGGCUAGAGUAUAGUAGGGGUAAAGGGAAUUUCCAGUGGAGCGGUAGAAUGACGUAGAGAUUGGAAAGAACACCGAUGGCGAAGGCACUUUACUGGGCUAUUACUAACACUCAGAGACGAAAGCUAGGGUAGCAAAUGGG